GAUGGACGCUGGCGGCGUGCCUAAUACAUGCAAGUCGAGCGAACAGACGAGGAGCUUGCUCCUCUGACGUUAGCGGCGGACGGGUGAGUAACACGUGGAUAACCUACCUAUAAGACUGGGAUAACUUCGGGAAACCGGAGCUAAUACCGGAUAAUAUAUUGAACCGCAUGGUUCAAUAGUGAAAGACGGUUUUGCUGUCACUUAUAGAUGGAUCCGCGCCGCAUUAGCUAGUUGGUAAGGUAACGGCUUACCAAGGCAACGAUGCGUAGCCGACCUGAGAGGGUGAUCGGCCACACUGGAACUGAGACACGGUCCAGACUCCUACGGGAGGCAGCAGUAGGGAAUCUUCCGCAAUGGGCGAAAGCUUGACGGAGCAACGCCGCGUGAGUGAUGAAGGUCUUCGGAUCGUAAAACUCUGUUAUUAGGGAAGAACAAGUGUGUAAGUAACUAUGCACGUCUUGACGGUACCUAAUCAGAAAGCCACGGCUAACUACGUG
rnacentral:rRNA from 1 species